GAUGAACGCUGGCGGCGUGCCUAAUACAUGCAAGUCGAGCGAACAGACGAGGAGCUUGCUCCUCUGACGUUAGCGGCGGACGGGUGAGUAACACGUGGAUAACCUACCUAUAAGACUGGGAUAACUUCGGGAAACCGGAGCUAAUACCGGAUAAUAUAUUGAACCGCAUGGUUCAAUAGUGAAAGACGGUUUUGCUGUCACUUAUAGAUGGAUCCGCGCCGCAUUAGCUAGUUGGUAAGGUAACGGAUUACCAAGGCAACGAUGCGUAGCCGACCUGAGAGGGUGAUCGGCCACACUGGAAGUGAGACACGGUCGAGACUCCUGCGGGUGGCAUCAGUAGGGAAUCUUCCGCAAUGGUGGAUGGCUUGACGGAGCAAAGCCGCGUGAGUAAUGAAGGUCUUCGGAUCGUUAAGCUCUGUUAUUAGGGAAGAACAAAUGUGUAAGUAACUAUGCACUUCUUGACGGUACCUAAUCAGAAAGCCACGGCUAACUACGUG
rnacentral:rRNA from 1 species